UACGUAGGGUGCGAGCGUUAAUCGGAAUUACUGGGCGUAAAGCGUGCGCAGGCGGUUUGUUAAGACAGAUGUGAAAUCCCCGGGCUUAACCUGGGAACUGCAUUUGUGACUGGCAAGCUAGAGUAUGGCAGAGGGGGGUGGAAUUCCACGUGUAGCAGUGAAAUGCGUAGAGAUGUGGAGGAAUACCGAUGGCGAAGGCAGCCCCCUGGGCCAAUACUGACGCUCAUGCACGAAAGCGUGGGGAGCAAACAGG
rnacentral:rRNA from 1 species